rnacentral:lncRNA from 1 species
CUCUGUUGGGUAAAAGUAAUAAGUACAUUACUUGCAUCACGCUGAAACACAAACCGAAGCAAUACUUGUGUACCUGAAGAGGCUAUGGUAUGCAUGUGAACCAUAAAUGCUCUACAAUAUCUUGCUAUACUAAAUACCAUGAUCGCAUCUAUCAUCAUGAACAUGUACGUUCUAGUUUUCACUCAGUAACUCUGACCACCAUAAGAAGAUAAUUAUUCUUUUUGUAUUUGUCUGGCCACUAAGAUUCAUCUUUUUCGCACUUUGACCUCCCAAUUGAUGUAAAUUAAUAGGAAAACCUAAUACUUUAGUAUUUUUCUUCUUCAAUUAAAAAAUACCCUACUUUGAAGCAUAAAUUUGCACAUUUCCAACCAUC